rnacentral:rRNA from 1 species
CCUACGGGGCGCUGCAGUAGGGAAUAUUGCUCAAUGGGGGAAACCCUGAAGCAGCAACGCCGCGUGGAGGAUGAAGGUUUUCGGAUUGUAAACUCCUUUUGUUAGAGAAGAUAAUGACGGUAUCUAACGAAUAAGCACCGGCUAACUCCGUGCCAGCAGCCGCGGUAAUACGGAGGGUGCAAGCGUUACUCGGAAUCACUGGGCGUAAAGAGCGCGUAGACGGGAUAGCAAGUCAGAUGUGAAAUCCUAGGGCUUAACCAUAGAACUGCAUUUGAAACUGUUAUUCUAGAGUAUGGGAGAGGUAGGUGGAAUGCUUGGUGUAGGGGUAAAAUCCGUAGAGAUCAAGAGGAAUACUCAUUGCGAAGGCGACCUGCUAGAACAUAACUGACGCUGAUGCGCGAAAGCGUGGGGAGCAAACAGGAUUAGAUACCCUUGUAGUC